AGUGAACGCUGGCGGUAGGCCUAACACAUGCAAGUCGAACGGCAGCACAGUAAGAGCUUGCUCUUACGGGUGGCGAGUGGCGGACGGGUGAGGAAUACAUCGGAAUCUACUUUUUCGUGGGGGAUAACGUAGGGAAACUUACGCUAAUACCGCAUACGACCUACGGGUGAAAGCAGGGGAUCUUCGGACCUUGCGCGAUUGAAUGAGCCGAUGUCGGAUUAGCUAGUUGGCGGGGUAAAGGCCCACCAAGGCGACGAUCCGUAGCUGGUCUGAGAGGAUGAUCAGCCACACUGGAACUGAGACACGGUCCAGACUCCUACGGGAGGCAGCAGUGGGGAAUAUUGGACAAAGGGCGCAAGCCUGAUCCAGCCAUACCGCGUGGGUGAAGAAGGCCUUCGGGUUGUAAAGCCCUUUUGUUGGGAAAGAAAAGCAGCAGGUUAAUACCCCGCUGUUCUGACGUUACCCAAAGAAUAAGCACCGGCUAACUUCGUG
rnacentral:rRNA from 1 species